UACGUAGGGGGCGAGCGUUGUCCGGAUUCAUUGGGCGUAAAGAGCUCGUAGGCGGUUCAGUAAGUCGGGUGUGAGAUCUCCGUGCUCAACACGGAGCGGCCACCUGAUACUGCUGUGACUCGAGUCCGGUAGGGGAGUGUGGAAUUCCCGGUGUAGCGGUGAAAUGCGCAGAUAUCAGGAGGAACACCAGUGGCGAAGGCGGUGCUCUGGGCCGGAACUGACGCUGAGGAGCGAAAGCGUGGGGAGCAAACAGG
rnacentral:rRNA from 1 species